rnacentral:lncRNA from 1 species
UAAAUGUAUGCUUUAACUGCAUGCUCGGGGCACGGCCUUACACUAGAGUGUUAGAGAUGAUUUAGCUGCAUGCACGGGGCACGACCUUAUGCUAAAUGUAUGCUUUAACUGCAUGCUCGAAGCACAACCUUAUUCUAAAUGUUAAUAAUAAAAAGUCCACGAGCUAGGGCUCGACUUCAAUAAUGAAGAAAUAACGAGCUAUGGCUCGCCUUCGAUAAUAAGAAAACCAAGAGCUAGAACUCACCUUUGAUAAUAUGAAAAGCACGAGCUAAGGCUUGCCUGGGCAAUUGGAUGAUCAAUGGAGCUGACUUUUGAAAUCUCAUUUUGUAGAUUCAAUUAAAUGACCUAAGUGUGCAGGCUAUCAUGUCGAACUAAGCAAAACACAAAAAAGGCCCAAUAAGAAUGAGUGUUUAUAGGCAGCCCAAAAUGCUGCUUUUGUGGGUAGUAGAGUUAUUGGUUUUGGUACUAGGGGUGCCAAAGCUUUCUGUCCUAGUUGACGAGGCCAAUAAGCUACAAUUCUCUGUAGAGAUCUAAUUUGCGUCACUUGUGGAAGCUUUAUCUGAACCAAAAAUUGCCAGCUGGGCUCUAGUUGCAGAUGAAGUCAUUGACCACGCUGUUGAAGUUUUAUGGCUUGGACUCGGAUCAUGUGAAUGGUGUUUUGCUUGAUAAUUUAGAAGCUAAGGAUGAAAACACAAAUGAUCGAUCCUCAUUAAAGUAGUGAAAUGGUCGAACCAAAUGAAAUCAAUCUCUAAUCUUAUGCUCAAAGUAGUGAUUGUGGCCCAAGCAUCUCCGUCACUCCCCACUUUCGUCAUCGGUGGCCGCUACAUCUAUGGUUGUUGUUGGAGGCCAUGGUGAUUUAAGCUCAUUUAUUUUCUUCUUGGUAAUAGAAUGUCUAAUUUUUGGCUUUAUUCUAUUUCUCGAACAAAAUUCUUUUAUGGCUAUUUUCUUUCGUAUUUGGAAUGGGUCAUUCAAAAUCAGGUUUUAGGUUGCUCCCAUAUUUGCAGCUAUGAUUAUCGACUCACAUUCAUUCCUUUCAUGCGGAUCUGGUUGAGCUUCAAGGACCAAUAAAGGCCUCCUUUUCUCUUAUUUUUUGAUGAAUAUUUAGUGCUUGAAAUACAUGCUAAUAGCUUCCGUCUUUAUAUUUUAAUCGAAGAAAAUUUCCUAAACAAUUAUCUUUUACGAUGGCUUUUUCGAUGUGGCGUAAACAUAGUUAGUGUACCGUUUUCCACAAUUCUAUCAAAAACUGUACUUGAUAGAUCUCAAACUGAAUGUUUGAAUACCAAGCUAGGGGAUUGAGAAAGAACAUGAACAAAACCUUCCGGAACCUGAAAUAAAGGCAACGAGGUGUGAUCUCAUCGCACCUCCGAUACUUAAGUCAGACAGGAAAUUUAUAUAAAAAUGUAUGGGACCACCACCAAUGAACUCAGAAGGCCCAAACUGCAGCCGAAAACUGAUUUUGGAAUUAAUUCUUGUACGAUGGUCCAACAGGGACAAGCGCCAGAUAUUUAGAAUGCCCAUGAAAUGGCGAACCUUCGGUUAAAAAAUCACGGCAAUCGGAGGUCGGACGCUCCUGUUAUGGCACCAAACGUAAACGGACAGUUUGUCGAAAAAUUGCGAUUUUCGGCCUCUACGGUUCUCACCUCGGGAAACGCGCUUGACCGCGUUAUUCAGCAUGAAAUUCCGC